GGUUCUGUGGUCUAGUGGUAUGAUACCUGCUUCACACGCAGGGGGUCUCCAGUUCGAACCUGGGCAGAAUCA
rfam:Pichia pastoris GS115 chromosome 1, complete sequence